GACGAACGCUGGCGGCGUGCUUAACACAUGCAAGUCGAACGGAAAGGCCCUUCGGGGUACUCGAGUGGCGAACGGGUGAGUAACACGUGGGUGAUCUGCCCUGCACUUUGGGAUAAGCCUGGGAAACUGGGUCUAAUACCGAAUAGGACCACGCGCUUCAUGGUGUGUGGUGGAAAGCUUUUGCGGUGUGGGAUGGGCCCGCGGCCUAUCAGCUUGUUGGUGGGGUAAUGGCCUACCAAGGCGACGACGGGUAGCCGGCCUGAGAGGGUGACUGGCCACACUGGGACUGAGAUACGGCCCAGACUCCUACGGGAGGCAGCAGUGGGGAAUAUUGCACAAUGGGCGCAAGCCUGAUGCAGCGACGCCGCGUGAGGGAUGACGGCCUUCGGGUUGUAAACCUCUUUCACCAGGGACGAAGCGUAAGUGACGGUACCUGGAGAAGAAGCACCGGCCAACUACGUG
rnacentral:rRNA from 1 species